rnacentral:rRNA from 1 species
UACGUAGGGGGCAAGCGUUGUCCGGAUUUAUUGGGCGUAAAGAGCGUGUAGGCGGCUUUACAGGUCCGUUGUGAAAACUCGAGGCUCAACCUCGAGACGCCGGUGGAAACCGUAAAGCUAGAGUCCGGAAGAGGAGAGUGGAAUUCCUGGUGUAGCGGUGGAAUGCGCAGAUAUCAGGAGGGACACCAAUAGCGAAGGCAGCUCGCUGGGACGGUACUGACGCUGAGGCGCGAAAGCGUGGGGAGCGAACAGG